rnacentral:rRNA from 1 species
UACGGGGGGGGCAAGCGUUGUUCGGAAUUACUGGGCGUAAAGGGCUCGUAGGCGGCCAACUAAGUCAGACGUGAAAUCCCUCGGCUUAACCGGGGAACUGCGUCUGAUACUGGAUGGCUUGAAUCCGGGAGAGGGAUGCGGAAUUCCAGGUGUAGCGGUGAAAUGCGUAGAUAUCUGGAGGAACACCGGUGGCGAAGGCGGCUUCCUGGACCGACACUGACGCUGAGGCGCGAAAGCUAGGGGAGCAAACGGG